GCUUCCAAAGGCAUCUUCCCACUGCUAGCAACCUGAGGUGCCCCAUAAUCUUAGUGCAAUGCUGCUCACAUGUUUCACUUCCAUCUAAGAGAAUCAAAGAGACUAGUCAUUAUCUCAUGAAGCCACACUCCACAAAACAAUACUAAAAAUGCUAAUCAGCCUGCAGUACACUAAAUAGGAAACUAAUGUGGCACAAAUUAGCAUAACUUUCAUGAUGCUGAGAUUCUCACUGGGUUUGGCAAGAGGGAGAUGAUUCCUAUAUAUUAUCAAGAACCAUGAUUGGAACUAUAGAUGGUGAGCUCAGAAUAAUGUGGUUGUUCGAAUCCAAUCUCCCUACCACCAAUUAACAAAUCAAUGAACUUUUAAUCCAUCCAUUAACAAAACUAGACAGGAUGCCACCACCAAGCAUGGUGAGCUUAGGGGUAAUUUCCGACAGAGUGGCGUGCAUUGACGGCAUAAUAAUAAAAGCUGUAAAGAAGAAACGUAGGAUUAUGCCAUC
rnacentral:lncRNA from 1 species